rnacentral:tRNA from 2 species
UGGGGCCAUAGCUCAGCUGGGAGAGCACCUGCUUUGCACGCAGGGGGUCAGCGGUUCGAUCCCGCUUGGCUCCACC